AGCCUGGUGGCGGAUGGUCAGCACCCACAUAUAAUAUCGGGUAUGUUCAGGCUUACGCAAGUGGGUACCCUCGUUCGAAUCGGGGCCAGGCUA